GAUGAACGCUAGCGGCGGACUUAACACAUGCAAGUCGAGGGGCAGCAUAAAAUUAUAAUACUUGUAUUAAAAUUUUGAUGGCGACCGGCGAACGGGUGAGUAACACGUACGCAACUUUCCUUUUGCAGGAGCAUAGCCUGAGGAAACUCGGAUUAAUACUCCAUAAUACAAAAUAUUUUAGAUAAUAUUUUGUUAAAGUUAGUAAAAUAACGGCAAAAGAUAGGCGUGCGUCCGAUUAGUUAGUUGGUAAGGUAAUGGCUUACCAAGACAAUGAUCGGUAGGGGGCCUGAGAGGGUGAUCCCCCACACUGGUACUGAGACACGGACCAGACUCCUACGGGAGGCAGCAGUGAGGAAUAUUGGUCAAUGGAGGCAACUCUGAACCAGUUACGCCGCGUGCAGGAGGACAGCCUUAUGGGUUGUAAACUGCUUUUGUAUGAGGAAUAAACUUUUCUACGUGUAGAAAACUGAAUGUACUCUACGAAUAAGUAUCGGCAAACUCCGUGCCAGCAGCCGCGGUAAUACGGAGGAUACAAGCGUUAUCCGGAUUUAUUGGGUUUAAAGGGUGCGUAGGCGGUCUUUUAAGUCAGUAGUGAAAUCUUACAGCUUAACUGUUAAAACUGCUAUUGAUACUGAUUGACUAGAGUAAAAUUGGAGUAGCUGGAAUGUGUGGUGUAGCGGUGAAAUGCAUAGAUAUCACACAGAACACCAAUCGCGAAGGCAGGUUAUUAAAUUUUUACUGACGCUGAGGCACGAAAGCGUGGGGAGCAAAUAGGAUUAGAUACCCUAGUAGUCCACGCCGUAAACGAUGAUCACUAGCUAUUAAAUUAAUAUUUUUUUUAGUGGCCAAGCGAAAGUGAUAAGUGAUCCACCUGGGGAGUACGAUCGCAAGAUUGAAACUCAAAGGAAUUGACGGGGGCCCGCACAAGCGGUGGAGCAUGUGGUUUAAUUCGAUGAUACGCGAGGAACCUUACCAAGGCUUAAAUGUAUUACGCAUGUUUUAGAAAUAAAAUAGUUCUUCGGAACGGAAUACAAGGUGCUGCAUGGUUGUCGUCAGCUCGUGCCGUGAGGUGUUAGGUUAAGUCCUUCAACGAGCGCAACCCCUAUUAUUAGUUGCCAUCAGGUUAUGCUGGGGACUCUAAUAAGACUGCCGACGUAAGUCGUGAGGAAGGUGGGGAUGACGUCAAAUCAUCACGGCCCUUAUGUCUUGGGCUACACACGUGCUACAAUGGUCAGUACAAAGGGCAGCAACUAGGUAACUAGAAGCAAAUCUCUAAAGCUGAUCUUAGUUCGGAUUGGAGUCUGCAACUCGACUCUAUGAAGCUGGAAUCGCUAGUAAUCGCGCAUCAGCCAUGGCGCGGUGAAUACGUUCCCGGGCCU
rnacentral:rRNA from 1 species